GACGAACGCUGGCGGCGUGCUUAACACAUGCAAGUCGAACGGAAAGGCCCCUUUGGGGGUACUCGAGUGGCGAACGGGUGAGUAACACGUGAGUAACCUGCCCUUGACUUCGGGAUAACUUCAGGAAACUGGGGCUAAUACCGGAUACGAAUCCUUGCUGCAUGGUGGGGGUUGGAAAGCUUCGGCGGUUUUGGAUGGACUCGCGGCUUAUCAGCUUGUUGGUGGGGUAGUGGCUUACCAAGGCUUUGACGGGUAGCCGGCCUGAGAGGGCGACCGGCCACAUUGGGACUGAGAUACGGCCCAGACUCCUACGGGAGGCAGCAGUGGGGAAUAUUGCACAAUGGGCGGAAGCCUGAUGCAGCAACGCCGCGUGCGGGAUGACGGCCUUCGGGUUGUAAACCGCUUUCAGCAGGGGCGAAGCUUGUGGUGACGGUACCUGCAGAAGAAGCACCGGCUAACUACGUG
rnacentral:rRNA from 1 species